UACGGAGGGGGCUAGCGUUGUUCGGAAUUACUGGGCGUAAAGCGUACGUAGGCGGCUUUGUAAGUUAGAGGUGAAAGCCCAGAGCUCAACUCUGGAAUUGCCUUUAAGACUGCAUCGCUUGAAUCGUGGAGAGGUUAGUGGAAUUCCGAGUGUAGAGGUGAAAUUCGUAGAUAUUCGGAAGAACACCAGUGGCGAAGGCGACUAACUGGACACGUAUUGACGCUGAGGAGCGAAAGCCAGGGGAGCAAACGGG
rnacentral:rRNA from 1 species